rnacentral:rRNA from 1 species
AUGAUCGGUGAAAUGGAUGCGGACAGUGUUGUAGGAUAUUUCAGGGGCAAGAGUAUCCUCAUCACUGGUUCAACUGGCUUCCUAGGCAAAGUGCUCGUAGAGAAGAUACUGAGGGUUCAGCCUGAUGUGAAGAAGCUCUACCUCUUGAUUCGGGCCCCUGAUGCUGAAUCCGCGAAGCUUCGGAUUCAGACUGAGAUCAUAGGUCGGGAGAUCUUUCAUGUGCUAAAAGAAAAACAUGGUGUGCGGUUCAAUAAUUUCAUUGAGGAAAAGAUAUGUCCGUUGGUGGGAGAUAUCAUUUAUGAAAACUUUGGACUAGACAGUGCCCAGCUAGGGGAAUUGUCCAAGGACGUAGAUGUCAUCGUCAACGGAGCUGCGACUACAAAUUUCUUUGAAAGAUAUGAUGUGGCUUUCGAUGUGAAUGUCUUGGGUGUGAAGCACAUCUGCGCAUUUGCAACAAAAUGUCCUAAGCUCAAGAUGUUGCUUCAUGUUUCAACAGCCUAUGUAGCUGGUGAGCAAGAGGGGAUAAUACCAGAGAAGCCGAUUUUGAUGGGUGAGACCAUAAAGGCUGGGAGGAAAACUAUGAAGGAGCUUGGCCUCAAGAGGGCUCGACACUUCGGGUGGCCGAACACCUACGUAUUCACCAAGGCAAUGGGGGAGAUGAUGAUGGGGCUCCUACCAAUGGACUUUCCAGUUGUCAUCAUCCGCCCAAGCAUUAUAACCAGUGCCCUCAAGGAGCCAUUGCCUGGAUGGAUGGAAGGAAUCAAGACAAUCGACUCAGUGGUCAUCGGAUACGCCAAGCAGACCUUGCCCUUCUUCCUAGUCGACCUAGAUUUAAUAAUGGAUGUGAUUCCAGGGGACAUGGUGGUGAAUGCUAUGAUGGUUGCCAUGGUAGCACACUCAGAGGAUCAGCAGGUGCAAAUCAUCUACCAUGUAACAUCGUCGCUGCGGAACCCAGCACCUUACGCCAUCCUUUGGAAGUCUCUCUUUCGGUACUUCAGUGACAACCCCCCAUGCACGGGAAGGAAUGGUGAGCAUGUUCGGCUGAAGAAGAUGCGGUUCUUCAGCUCUAUCAUGUGGUUCAGGCUGUACAUGGCCUUCAAGUACAUGCUUCCCCUCGAGAUGCUUCGCCUAGUGAACAUUGCACUUUGUGGUGUUUUCUCACGGGUAUACAACGAACUCAGCAGAAAAUUCCGAUUCAUGAUGCAGUUGAGCGAAUUAUAUGCACCAUACACUUUGUUCAAAGGGUGCUUUGAUGACAUGAACUUGGAUAAACUAAGGAUGGCGAUGAAAAAGGACAAUCAAAAUAACAAUGGGGCCUAUUACUUUGAUUUUGAUCCCAAGUACAUUGACUGGGAAGAUUAUUUCUACAGUGUUCACAUCCCUGGUGUGCUCAAAUAUACGCGUGAUUGA